AAGUAAUCAAAGUAUCGCGAGAGCGAGACGAAAUAUGAUUUCUUGAAUCAUUCUCGCGGUACUUUGACGUCAUCCGGCUGUCGGUUCUUGCGGCGCCGCAUUAAGUCAAACAAGCCUCCUGACUGCGUGCGAGAACGUUUGAAUUAUCUGGCACGAGCCCUCACACGUCAAACUUCAACUGACACAACGGUCUCGGUGGAGGUAAUAAGCAAAAGCGCCUUUAAAUUUCGUCAUUUUUUAUACACAUCCCGUUUAUUUUGUAGUUAAUUGUUAGAUAAGUUGGUAAUUUCGUCAAGUUUUCGUUACAAGGUAAGAUUUCGUUAUCAUCGUUGCCAUAUAACUUAACUUACAGUAUUUAUAUUGGUUCAAGAGCGCAGUUUGAUAACUCAUUCGAGCCUUUAAACAUCUAAACAUGUCCUCCAAAAAGGUAAGUUCAGCAGAUCAGCUUAUCUUAUUCUGUAAUAUUAAUACUGGUUUGAGAAAAACUAAGAUUAAACAACGUACAUGUUUCCAGGAAAAAGGGAAAAACAUUGGAAAACAAUUUCAGCCUAAGGUUUGAGAUGGCUAACUGUGUAUAUUGCCUUUGUGUACUGCAAGCUGAACUUACAGAUUUAUAUGGACUUUACUUACAGGUUUCCUGUGCUGUUUUGCUCCAUUUUACAGAACAAAAUAAGUGCUGAGGUAGCACCAUCCUUGUGGUUAUAGUGAAAGAAUGUGGGUAUUGAGACCAAAAUAAAUAAUGUGCCAUUCUGGACAAACAGCUGUGGACAAUAUGCAGUCAGAGUAGCCUAUUGUCUCACACAGAUGAGGAGCAACCAGUAAGAAAAAGCAAAAAGAUGUUUUGAUGUUGCCUGAGGCACCUUAUUCACAUCAGUCAAUUUCUUCCAAUAAUGAAUCAAGAAAUCCUGGAGUGGAGAAUCAUUCUGAAAGUAGACCAAAUACAGGACAACACCACAGCAGUGGUUGGAAAAAUGCAGCAGACAAUGAGCAAGCCAAGCUGACUUUCAAAAGAUGAUUCGUUAUCUGUUUCUUCAAAGGGGAGGCAGUUUGGGAAAUAGGAGGAUGCUACAGUUACAAAGGGCAAAUUUCAGCAGCUCAGUUUCACACUUGCAACUAACAAUGAAUUAUAGUUAGAAGACAACGGAAAUAUUUGACAUCGGAGUCCAGCAGACAGCCAGAGACACGCACACACACGGAGCUGAAGCGCGUUUGACUGACGCGUACGGGAGAUCAGGAACGCGCACGGGAGCUUGCGCACGCACAGUCGCACACACAAACACGGAGCACAGGAAAUUUACAACUGUUCAAAUAAAAUAAAAGAACUUUGUGGUAAACAAUGUUUAGCGUGUCUGAUUUCAUUGGUGUAAUGAAAUAAAAUGACGUGCUGAGGACUUUAGGCGAACGUCCCCUAAAAGUCCCGAAAGUCCGCUGACCGUCCUGCAAACGUCCUUGUGAAAGUCCGGAGGACGUCCUCGCGGACGUCCGCUCGACGUAACAGGGGACCCUACACGAUAACGUCCAGGGGACGUUCGCAGAGGACAUUUAGGGGACGUCCAGGGGACCUUUUUUUGUUAGCUGGGUUUG